GAUGAAGAACGCAGUGAAACGCGAUAAGUAAUGUGAAUUGCAGAAUUUAGUGAAUCAUCGAAUCUUUGAACGCACAUUGCGCCCGCUAGUAUUCUGGCGGGCAUGCCUGUCCGAGCGUCAUUUCAACCCUCAAGCCCCCGGGCUUGGUGUUGGGGAUCGGCGAGCCUCCGCGCCCGCCGUCCCCUAAAUCUAGUGGCGGUCUCGCUGUAGCUUCCUCUGCGUAGUAGCACACCUCGCACUGGGAAACAGCGCGGCCACGCCGUUAAACCCCCAACUUCUGAACGUUUGACCUCGGAUCAGGUAGGAAUACCCGCUGAACUUAAGCAUAUCAAUAAGCGGAGGA
rnacentral:misc_RNA from 1 species